ACUCCUACGGGAGGCAGCAGUAGGGAAUCUUCCACAAUGGGCGCAAGCCUGACGGAGCAACACCGCGUGAGUGAAGAAGGGUUUCGGCUCGUAAAGCUCUGUUGUUAAAGAAGAACACGUAUGAGAGUAACUGUUCAUACGUUGACGGUAUUUAACCGGAAAGUCACGGCUAACUACGUGCCAGCAGCCGCGGUAAUACGUAGGUGGCAAGCGUUAUCCGGAUUUAUUGGGGCGUAAAGAGAGUGCAGGCGGUUUUCUAAGUCUGAUGUGAAAGCCUUCGGCUUAACCGGAGAAGUGCAUCGGAAACUGGAUAACUUGAGUGCAGAAGAGGGUAGUGGAACUCCAUGUGUAGCGGUGGAAUGCGUAGAUAUAUGGAAGAACACCAGUGGCGAAGGCGGCUACCUGGUCUGCAACUGACGCUGAGACUCGAAAGCAUGGGUAGCGAACAGGAUUAGAUACCCUGGUAGGAUAGCG
rnacentral:rRNA from 1 species